AUUGAACGCUGGCGGCAGGCCUAACACAUGCAAGUCGAACGGUAACAGGAAACAGCUUGCUGUUUCGCUUACGCGUGGCGGACGGGUGAGUAAUGUCUGGGAAACUGCCUGAUGGAGGGGGAUAACUACUGGAAACGGUAGCUAAUACCGCAUAACGUCGCAAGACCAAAGAGGGGGACCUUCGGGCCUCUUGCCAUCGGAUGUGCCCAGAUGGGAUUAGCUAGUAGGUGGGGUAACGGCUCACCUAGGCGACGAUCCCUAGCUGGUCUGAGAGGAUGAACAGCCACACUGGAACUGAGACACGGUCCAGACUCCUACGGGAGGCAGCAGUGGGGAAUAUUGCACAAUGGGCGCAAGCCUGACGCAGCCAUGCCGCGUGUAUGAAGAAGGCCUUCGGGUUGUAAAGUACUUUCAGCGGGGAUGAAGGGAGUAAAGUUAAUACCUUUGCUCAUUGACGUUACCCGCAGAAGAAGCACCGGCUAACUCCGUG
rnacentral:rRNA from 1 species